rnacentral:rRNA from 1 species
GACGAGCCACACAAACGUUAUUCGGAAUUACUGGGUUUAAAGGGUGCGCAGGCGGGACAUUAAGUCAGGGGUGAAAGACGGUUGCUCAACAAUCGCAGUGCCUUUGAUACUGGUGUUCUUGGGUAACCUUGAGGUAGGCGGAAUGGGUGGUGUAGCGGUGAAAUGCAUAGAUACCACCCAGAACUCCGAUUGCGAAGGCAGCCUACUGGAGGUCAACCGACGCUCAGGCACGAAAGCGUGGGGAUCAAACAGG